rnacentral:lncRNA from 1 species
GCAUGGGCCCGUUCACUCUGUACUCUCUCUCACCCACUCCCCCUCCUAGAACCCUAUUUGCCUCGGGUUCGUACUCUCCGCCGGUCGACCACCUAUUUCCACAUUCUUUACCUUCUCCUCUCUCUCUCUCUCCCCUGUGUGCUCCCCCUCUUCCCCUCCUAGAACCCUAUUUACCCAGGGUUCGUACUCUCCGUCGCGCGGCCGCUGCUCGCCCUCUCCGGUGAUCCAGGAAUUUAAUGCCGCCGCGGAGCCAUACAACGCUCAACCGGCACCUUCCCAAAGAUGGUUGCCCCUCUCUGCACCGUACAACUGUAUCUACCACAGAUCUGCCCGUUUAUUUCCUUCACCGCGAACAGCUACAGGUCCUCUCCUCCCUCCCCCCCCCCCACGGUCUAUCUACCCCGAAUCUGUGCAAUUAAUUAAUGCCUCCGCCGCGGGCAAUUAAUGCGCGGUCACCUCCAACAUUAUUGGCCCUUUCUCUCCCCAUCUCUCUUUCUCUCUCUGUCGGGGCCUUCCCAGAGACGGUCGCCCCUCUCCACUGUACGGCUCCCUGCAAAUCGCUCGCAUUCCGUACCGUACAAUGCCAUAUACCCAGGAUCUGUAUAAUUAUUGCCUCCCCACAGAUCGCUUGCACCUCCAACAUUGUGAGCAAUGUUACCCAUUUUCUUGCGAGGUUGCCACCCAUAACUGUCGCCUCUGUUCUUCUUCCUACUGUUAUUGGCUACAGAGAGAAGGUGGGGUCUUGGUGUUCUCAUUUUGGCUACCAUUUUGUCUUGCCAUGCGUACUGUGCCCUGCUUUUUUUUUGUGUGUUAAUUUUUUCGUAGCGCUUUAAAUUUGCCUAAUUUUGCCUGUGAUUUUACUAUUUAAAUUGAAAUUUUUCAUGGGUUCUACGAUCUAUUUCUUUUUCGGUAAAUUUUACCGGAGCUUUUCAAUUCUUUUUUUUUUGGUUGCUCAGCAAUUCUUUUUGGUUGUUUUUUCUUUGUUCUUGCCCCUUUAAUUGCUUAGUUUUAUAAAAAUGAUUUCCGUUUUCUAGCAACAUAUUGUCCUGAAUUUUUUUUCUUCCAGCAUUUUUCUUCCUUUUGUGUUUGGAUUCUUCCGUUUGAUAUAAGGCAAUGAUGCAAUGGAGCUACCUGAUAUUUCCUUCUCUACUGCUAAGGCAAUGUUGCUAAAACCAGACCCUUGAUUUUACUUCUCUACUAUCUGUGGAUAAAAGCAUGGCAAUACAAAUGGCCUUGAGGCAAUCACUGCAACACAGCAGGACGAUUGGCCUCGAAACAAUCACUGCAGCCUUCCCAUAUUGCUAUACUACUAUCUGCUUCUGCAUGAAGUCCAUCAUAGUUUUUCCAAGUCUGAGCCUUAUAUCCCCUGCUUUUUGAGCUUAUUGUUUUUUAAACAUUGUUCUUUUUGGAUCUUUUAAUAGAAUGCACUUUGUAGAUACAAUGCUAUUAACAUAUAGACAACUGUUUUGUUAUGUCUCGAUGUGAUUAAUAUAUAGACAACUAUUUUGUUAUGUAUUUCGCCUUGAAGUAACUUCUAAUAUUACAAAUAUUUAUGCAAGUAUUAUUCGUUUGUCAUUUAAUAUUUACUAAUUUAUGUUUAUUGUAGAUUUUUUCGACCGCCGCGAACUAGUUAUAUCAAUAGAGUAAGAAAAUUUUGAUAAAAAAUAUAUAUAAUUUAAGGUACUUAUUUUGUUAAAGGCAUAGACCGACACGCACCGUACCGGUUCAUCAAAGUACGAUUUGGGAAAUGGUUGGUGUGGUUUUUGUGAGUUCAACUCACCCCC